GGGCGACUAGCUCAGUUGGUAGAGCACACCCCUGAUAAGGGUGAGGUCGCUGGUUCAAGCCCAGCGUCGCCCACCA
rnacentral:tRNA from 1 species